rnacentral:rRNA from 1 species
UCAAUUUGAAGGUUGUGGCCUUGAGCCGUGGCUUUCGGAGCUAACGCGUUAAAUAGACCGCCUGGGGAGUACGGCCGCAAGGUUAAAACUCAAAUGAAUUGACGGGGGCCCGCACAAGCGGUGGAGCAUGUGGUUUAAUUCGAUGCAACGCGAAAAACCUUACCUACUCUUGACAUCCAGAGAACUGGGCGAGAUGCCUUGGUGCCUUCGGGAGCUCUGAGACAGGUGCUGCAUGGCUGUCGUCAGCUCGUGUUGUGAAAUGUUGGGUUAAGUCCCGCAACGAGCGCAACCCUUAUCCUUUGUUGCCAGCGAUUCGGUCGGGAACUCAAAGGAGACUGCCGGUGAUAAACCGGAGGAAGGUGGGGAUGACGUCAAGUCAUCAUGGCCCUUACGAGUAGGGCUACACACGUGCUACAAUGGCACAUACAAAGAGAAGCGACCUCGCGAGAGUUAGCGGACCUCAUAAAGUGUGUCGUAGUUCGGAUUGGAGUCUGCAACUCGACUCCAUGAAGUCGGAAUCGCUAGUAAUCGUGGAUCAGAAUGCCACGGUGAAUACGUUCCCGGGCC